UUACAGCCAUAUCACAUUCAAAACACCGGUUCCCGUACGAUCAUCGAAGUUAAGCAACGUCGAUCUUGUUCAAUACCUAGAUGAGUGACCGUUUCGAAAUCCCAGGCGCUGUAAG